rnacentral:rRNA from 1 species
GAUAAUAAUCGGGUAUUAAAUCAUUCACCGAAGCUAUGGAAACCGUAAGGUUUGGUAGGGGAGCAUUCCAAGUGCGUUGAAGGUAUGAGAUGACUCAUGCUGGAGCGCUUGGAAAAGCAAAUGUAGGUAUAAGUAACGAUAAAGGGGGUGCGAUGCCCCCGCGCCGCAAGACUAAGGAUUCCCGGGCAACGUUAAUCGGCCCGGGGUAAGUCGGGACCUAAGGAUAAGCCGAAAGGCGAGGCCGAUGGAAGAGACGGUAAAAAUUCCGUCACUACCUUAUGGGGCGAUGUGGAGACGGAGAAGUGACACUGCCGCGUUCUGACGGAAAUGGACGUUAAAGAGUGUAGGCGAUGAGGAAGGCAGGCAAAUCCACCUUCCGAGCUGAACUUAAAAGUAUGCAAAGCCUUCGGGCGGCGCAAUAGCGCAGGUAAGCAGACUCCCGAGAAAAUCCGCUAAGCUUAACCCAUAAGGUACCCGUACCGUAAACGGACACACGUAGUC